CCCGUUCCCCAUUCCGCAACUGCGGCGAUACGAGAAAGCGGCGGCGAGGGCCCGCCUCAGCCGGGCAGCUGUGCGAUGCUCCCUGCUCACGCCUGCAAACGCUCCUUCCCCCGCUCGGCUCACCUCCUGGCGGAGCGCGGGUUUCCCGUAGAUUUUAAUAGAAGCUUGUGCUAGGAAACAGGUCAAGAAGAAGGACUAGCCAUCAAACCAUAUUUUUAACAUAGCUACUGCAGUUCCCCACAGAGAACAUUUUUGUCAUUGUUCCUCAGACAUGAACUUGUUGGAUCUGACUGUGCUUUCAUCUUUCUAGUGCUAUCCAGAAGUAACUCGAGUGGAAGUACACAAAAUACAGGGAUGCGAGAGUGGUAUAAGGGAGAUUUAAAAUGGACUUGUGAAAGAAUUUCUCCUGCCUUGCCAUAUGGAUAUUGAUUUCUCUCCCUCAGGCAGAAUAUAAUUGCCUGCUCUAAUUUAGCAUUGAUCUACCCACCCAAGUUUCUUAAAGUACUACACAGGCCUCAAUUAAAUUAUUCCUAAUACCACCUUUGUGAAGUAGGAUAGCUGUAAUUACUCACACUUAGAAAAUGGUGAGAGGUAAAAAGCGAUUUGUCCAAACCAUGCAGUGCAACAAGACACGAUUAAAGCAGGAGGCAAACAUACUAUGCCAUGUGCUGUACAUCAAAUUACCCUGAGUUUUUCUAAUAGCAAAAUAUUUGUUCAUCCAAUAUUUUGUGAUUCCAAUGAACCACACUUGGUUAGAUACUAAGUGUACCAGGACUUCUGUUGUUCUUAUCAAUACAUCUAUUUUCUCCUUCAUGAGACCUCUAGAGAUCAUUGAGUCCAGCCCCCUGCAAAGCGGGCCCCCUACAAAGGAAUAACACCUCUUGCUGCUGAAUUCAACAAAUGUGGUCUCGCCACUAUUUUUAAGUGUCAUUUUAUUUAUUAGUUCAAGAGAAACCAGCCAGACUGAUACUGAGGAGAAACAAGUACAAAGUAUUUUGUAUACACACCCAAUAGAUCAGAAAAAAUGCAGGUUUUAGCAACUGAAGGAGCCCAACGCUAAGG
rnacentral:lncRNA from 1 species